rnacentral:rRNA from 1 species
GACGAACCGAGCGAACGUUGUUCGGAAUCACUGGGCUUAAAGGGCGCGUAGGCGGGUGCUCAAGUCUGUGGUGAAAUCCUCCGGCUCAACCGGAGAACUGCCAUGGAUACUGGGUGCCUCGAGGGUGGUAGGGGUAUGCGGAACUAUCGGUGGAGCGGUGAAAUGCGUUGAUAUCGAUAGGAACUCCGGUGGCGAAGGCGGCAUACUGGACCACUUCUGACGCUGAGGCGCGAAAGCCAGGGGAGCGAAACAGG